GUGAGGGAUAUUGGGCAAUGGGGGGAACCCUGACCCAGCCAUGCCGCGUGAGGGAAGUAGGCCCUACGGGUCGUGAACCUCUUUUAUUCGGGGACAAGGGCGCGGUCGGGAACCGUGCUUGAGGGUACCGAAGGAAUAAGCGUCGGCUAACUCCGUGCCAGCAGCCGCGGUAAUACGGAGGACGCGAGCGUUAUCCGGAUUCAUUGGGUUUAAAGGGUGCGCAGGCGGCCUGUCAAGUCAGCGGUGAAAGCCCGGGGCCCAACCCCGGAAGUGCCGUUGAUACUGUCGGGCUGGAAUGCGGUCGAGGCGGGCGGAACGUGGCGUGUAGCGGUGAAAUGCGUAGAUAUGCCACAGAACGCCGAUAGCGGAGGCAGCUCGCCAGGCCUGCAUUGACGCUCGGGCACGAAAGCGUGGGGAUCGAACAGG
rnacentral:rRNA from 1 species